rnacentral:rRNA from 1 species
UUCGGGACAUCCAGACAGGUGGUGCAUGGUUGUCGUCAGCUCGUGUCGUGAGAUGUUGGGUUAAGUCCCGCAACGAGCGCAACCCUUGUAUUCAGUUGCUACGCAAGAGCACUCUGGAUAGACUGCCGUUGACAAAACGGAGGAAGGUGGGGAUGACGUCAAAUCAUCAUGCCCCUUACGACCUGGGCCACACACGUACUACAAUGGCGCACAACAGAGGGAAGCAAGACAGCGAUGUGGAGCAAACCCCUAAAAUGCGUCCCAGUUCAGAUUGCAGGCUGCAACCCGCCUGCAUGAAGUCGGAAUUGCUAGUAAUCGCGGAUCAGCAUGCCGCGGUGAAUACGUUCCCGGGCCUUGUACACACCGCCCGUCACACCAUGGGAGCCGGUAACACCCGAAGUCAGUAGCCUGACCGCAAGGAGGGCGCUGCCGAAGGUGGGAUUGGUGACUGGGGUGAAGUCGUAACAAGGUAGCCGUAUCGGAAGGUGCGGCUGGAUCACCUC